GACAGAGGGGGCAAGCGUUGCUCGGAAUCACUGGGCGUAAAGGGCGCGUAGGCGGGAUGGCAAGUCGGUCGUGAAAUCCUUCGGCUCAACCGAAGAACGUCGGCCGAUACUGCCGUUCUUGAGGGAUGCAGAGGAGAUUGGAAUUCCCGGUGUAGCGGUGAAAUGUGUAGAGAUCAGGAAGAACACCCGUGGCGCAAGCGACCACCUGGCCGAGACCUGACGCUGAGGCACGAGAGCGUGGGGAGCGAACCGG
rnacentral:rRNA from 1 species